rnacentral:rRNA from 1 species
UGGGGAAUAUUGCACAAUGGGCGAAAGCCUGAUGCAGCGACGCCGCGUGCGGGAUGAAGGCCUUCGGGUUGUAAACCGCUUUUGAUUGGGAGCAAGCGAGAGUGAGUGUACCUUUCGAAUAAGCACCGGCUAACUACGUGCCAGCAGCCGCGGUAAUACGUAGGGUGCAAGCGUUAUCCGGAAUUAUUGGGCGUAAAGAGCUCGUAGGCGGUUUGUCGCAUCUGGUGUGAAAGUCCAUCGCUUAACGGUGGAUCUGCGCCGGGUACGGGCAGGCUAGAGUGCGACAGGGGAGACUGGAAUUCCCGGUGUAACGGUGGAAUGUGUAGAUAUCGGGAAGAACACCAAUGGCGAAGGCAGGUCUCUGGGUCGUCACUGACGCUGAGGAGCGAAAGCGUGGGGAGCGAACAGGAUUAGAUACCCUGGUAGUCCACGCCGUAAACGGUGGAUGCUGGAUGUGGGGCCCAUUCCACGGGUUCCGUGUCGGAGCUAACGCGUUAAGCAUCCCGCCUGGGGAGUACGGCCGCAAGGCUAAAAC